GGACAAGAACAUAGUGAAGAAAUUUAAACUUUUUUAAAAUUAUGCAAAAUUGCAGAAUAUUGCAGAAUAUUUUUAAGGUUAUCUGAUAUAAAGCGCGGGGCGAUGUCCUACGUCGCCCCCGGCCGAUUGAAAGGGAGUCGGGUUCAAAUCCCCGAACCUGGAGGUGUGGAGAUAGGGGCUGCGAGGCGCCCAGUGCGGUAACGUACACGAACCCGGAGAAGCUGGUGGGGGCUCUGGAGAGAGUUCUCUUUUCUUUGUGAAGGGCAGGGCACCCCGGAAUGGGUUCGCCCCGAGAUAGGGGCCUGGAAAGCGUUGCGGUUCCAGCGGCGUCUGGUUAGCUCUCACUGGCCCUUGAAAAUCCGGGGGAGAAGGUGUAAGUCUCACGCCAGACCGUACCCAUAUCCGCAGCAGAUCUCCAAGGUGAACAGCCUCU
rnacentral:ncRNA from 1 species